GUGCUAACUUGAACUAGCUGAAGAAGAUUGGCGCCUAUAUAUUCCAAGGUGUGCUUACAAUUUGAUAACGUCCCAUGAACGAUAUAAGUGGACAACGCCAACAAGUAUGUGAUACUAUUGGAGAUAGUGCAGGUCCUCAUUGACCUCAAGCUCAUAGUCAAGAAGGCAUACACAUCCUCAGACAUAGGAUGGUUCAUGGACAAUAUGAGAGCUGUUGGUUUCUUUCCUUUCCUUUUCAUCAAAAUGGUGCGACAAUUUCUAAGCUAUUUGAUUUCUGCUGGCAGUCUUCACUAUGACGAACCAAAGUGGGCACGAGGUAAUGGACGAAUCAGUGCUACAAAGAAUAAAGGGCUACAUUUACAAGUAAGCACAAUUUGGUCCUUAGUCUCUGCAAGUUAGCGAGGCUAGCUUAACCGUUGCUUGAUUUAGUCAUCAGAUGUUUGAAUACUGACCUGCAAGGGGGAUGCUCCAAAUGUUAAUACCAUUUGCAGGUAUAUGCCCGUGUAUCCAUAGAAAUCCUAAUGUUUGGGGGGCUCUUUUGUUGGUUUAGAAUACCAUUUGCAGG